UACAGAGGCCUCGAGCGUUAGGCGGAAUCACUGGGCUUAAAGCGUGUGUAGGCGGAUUGGUAAGUACCUUGUGAAAUCCCACAGCUUAACUGUGGAACUGCUCGGUAUACUGCUGAUCUUGAGCCACUCAGGGGCUACCGGAACAAAUGGUGGAGCGGUGAAAUGCGUAGAUAUCAGGAAGAACACCGGUGGCGAAAGCGCUCUGCUAGGCCGCAACUGACACUGAGGGACGAAAGCCAGGGGAGCGAAUGGG
rnacentral:rRNA from 1 species